GAGUGAUAGAGAGAGAGAGGGAGGGAGUGAUAGAGGGAGUGAUAGAGAGAGAGAGGGAGGGAGUGAUAAAGGGAGCGAUAGAGAGAGGGAGGGAUAGAGGGAGUGAUAGAGAGGGAGGGAUAGAGGGAGGGAGAAAUAGGGAGAAAGAGGGAGGGAAGGAAGAGAAAUCUAGCAAGAAAGAGAUGUCCCUUUAAGCCACAUGAGCUUUUCAGAGCUGAAUGUAAUUGACCAACUUGACAUGAAUCAUGCUGCGAUGUGUGCUGAAAAUGAGUAUCCUUCAACCGCCACAGGCUGGCCGGCUGAAACUGCCGAUCCCCACCAGCAGUCUGUCCGCUGCCGUCGCAGACAGUUAUGAAUAUAUAGAGGGGAAGGGAGUGAUGAGGAAAAGAGAGAAAGAGCAUUUCUCCACAACUGUAGCUGCAGUGAGGCCACAGCCAAUCAGCUUGAGCCUUGCAGGCAGGCAAAGAAAGUGGCUUGCCAAUGAGGAUAGAGGUUGCAUAUCGACCCCACCCCACCCAUCCUUGUUCCUCCCUGCCUGCCUGCCUCUUUCCUCUGGCACAGCCUGUCAUGUCUGAGCCUCAUUUAUUUUUUAUUUAACUAGGCAAGUCAGUUAAGAACACAUUCUUAUUUACAAUGACGUCCUAGGAACAGUGGAUUAACUGCCUUGUUCAGGGGCAGAACGACAGAUUUUUAACUUGUCGGCUCUGGGAUUUGAUCUAGCAACCUUUCAUUUACUGGUCCAACGCUCUAACCACUAGGCUACCUGCCGCCCCAUGCCAGGAUUUAAAGAGGAGAAUAAAGAAUGUCUGACUCUAAAGUCCUCUCUUUCUCUCACUCUGAAGUGUGUGUGCACCUGUGUCCUGCUCAAACCGAGGGCAUCACUGCAGUGUCUGACUUCCAGAGAGGGAGAGAGGGAUAUGAGAGGAUGAUAGCAGAGCUUCUUACUGUAUUUCUCCCAGUGAGGUGUGGUAAGGCAGGGUUAAGUGUGAGCGAGGGAUGGGGGGCUUAAUAUAACAAGGACAAAAUCUGGUGAAAGUGAUUGUCUUUCGACACCAUGUAGAGUCCAUGCCCCAAUUAAUUGAGGCUAUUCUGAGGGCAAAAGUGUGGGGUGGGUGUACUAGGAAGCUUAAUGUUUUGUACCCUCAGUGUAUAUAGUCAUUAAUAGUGAAUGACUUGAUAAAUAAGGGGUACAUCCUAAUAAGUAACCCACACCAUAAGUCAAUGAGCGACAAUAUGCAAACAUUGGGAACUAUUAACCAGAACGUGUACCAUGGUUGACUGUAGACACGAGAGGUGAAACCAUAACAUGAAGGAGACAGGAAUAAAAGAGAGGUACAAAACAUAACAUGAAGGAGACAGGAAUAAAAGAGAGGUGAAAACAUAACAUGAAGGAGGCAGGAAUAAAAGAGAGGUGAAAACAUAAGAGGAAGGAGACAGGAAUAAAAGAGGUGAAAACAUAACAGGAAGGAGACAGGAAUAAAAGAGAGGUACAAAACAUAACAGGAAGGAGGCAGGAAUAAAAGAGAGGUGAAAACAUAACAGGAAGGAGACAGGAAUAAAAGAGAGGUACAAAACAUAACAUGAAGGAGGCAGGAAUAAAAGAGAGGUACAAAACAUAACAUGAAGGAGGCAGGAAUAAAAGAGAGGUGAAAACAUAACAGGAAGGAGACAGGAAUAAAAGAGAGGUACAAAACAUAACAUGAAGGAGGCAGGAAUAAAAGAGAGGUACAAAACAUAACAUGAAGGAGGCAGGAAUAAAAGAGAGGUGAAAACAUAACAGGAAGGAGACAGGAAUAAAAGAGAGGUGAAAACAUAACAGGAAGGAGACAGGAAUAAAAGAGAGGUGAAAACAUAACAGGAAGGAGACAGGAAUAAAAGAGAGGUGAAAACAUAACAGGAAGGAGACAGGAAUAAAAGAGAGGUGAAAACAUAACAUGAAGGAGGCAGGAAUAAAAGAGAGGUACAAAACAACAGGAAGGAGACAUGAAUAAAAGAGAGGUGAAAACAACAGGAAGGAGACAGGAAUAAAAGAGAGGUGAAAACAUAACAUGAAGGAGGCAGGAAUAAAAGAGAGGUGAAAACAUAACAGGAAGGAGACAGGAAUAAAAGAGAGGUGAAAACAUAACAGGAAGGAGACAGGAAUAAAAGAGAGGUGAAAACAUAACAGGAAGGAGACAGGAAUAAAAGAGAGGUGAAAACAUAACAGGAAGGAGACAGGAAUAAAAGAGAGGUGAAAACAUAACAGGAAGGAGACAGGAAUAAAAGAGAGGUGAAAACAUAACAGGAAGGAGACAGGAAUAAAAGAGAGGUGAAAACAUAACAGGAAGGAGACAGGAAUAAAAGAGAGGUGAAAACAUAACAGGAAGGAGACAGGAAUAAAAGAGAGGUGAAAACAUAACAGGAAGGAGACAGGAAUAAAAGAGAGGUGAAAACAUAACAGGAAGGAGACAGGAAUAAAAGAGAGGUGAAAACAUAACAGGAAGGAGACAGGAAUAAAAGAGAGGUGAAAACAUAACAGGAAGGAGACAGGAAUAAAAGAGAGGUGAAAACAUAACAGGAAGGAGACAGGAAUAAAAGAGAGGUGAAAACAUAACAGGAAGGAGGCAGGAAUAAAAGAGAGGUACAAAACAACAGGAAGGAGGCAGGAAUAAAAGAGAGGUGAAAACAACAGGAAGGAGGCAGGAAUAAAAGAGAGAUGAAAACAUAACAUGAAGGAGACUAAAAGAGAGGAGGAGAAGGGAUUGGGGCAGAUAUUAUCGGUCCUCAUGUCACAUAGCGACAGACACAGAUGGAAGGAGCAGUGGGAGGGUGUCUGUGUGUAUGAGAGGGUCUCUGUGUGUAUGAGUGUCUCUGUGUGUAUGAGAGUGUCUCUGUGUGUAUGAGAGUGCGCAGACAGAAAGCCCAUUAGGAGAGUCCUGUGGUGGAGGGAGGGGGAGAGAGAGAGAGAUGGAGAGAAGAGAGAGAAUGGGGAGAAGAGAGAGAAUGGGGAGAGAUGGUCAUUCGAGAGCUUCGAUCUGCAAAAAGAUGAUUCUGAGAUAAUUGGCUUUAAAGUUCAGAACCCUCAUUGGUUUGAAUGGUGUUUUUAUCUUGUAUUCUUUUGAACUUAUCAAUAUGAAUUGGGGUACUUCGAGUCCUGUAUAGGUAGAGAACAUUGAAUAGAACACGGCUAUGUCUUAUAGUCCCAAGCUCUCCAAUUGCAGUACUUUCCUGCAGACAAAUGAUCAAACUGCCCUCUCGUGGCCUCAUGGGUGGAAUGUUAUUGAUAGUUUUCGCAAUUUCAUAAUUAAUCAACAUUAUUUUUAAAGACCAGACAAAGAUCUGGAGUUUCUAUGUUCUAAAAUUGGGCUGCAAACUAAAAAUGGAAUAAUUGUCAACUCUAUAUCUGACAUGGUACAACAGUCUUCUUUUUUUUACACCCAUAACCAUGUUUAUGAGAUGGAUACUUUUGUUUCAAAGUAGAUUUGUUUAAUACUACAGAGCAGUGGUGAAA